UGCUUAAUUGCGUUUCAAAAUUUAACCUUGAGGACCGGGUUUUGGUUUGGCUAGUGGUUCUACGAUGACUGUGAACUGUCAUGUCUUCGGAUGUGCGACUAUUGGUCUAGGAUCACAUGACUUGCCCCUGGGACUCUUUUGAACGCAACGGACGUGAUUGCAACCCCUUGUUGAGAUUAGAGAUAGUCUCGAUAUUCACUGGACAAACUGGCUGCUUUAUGCAGUCUUGUUGAAUGGUGGAUAAACUCGGGGGACUGCUGACUAUAACCAUUUCUCAAAACAGAGGAAGGUUGCGGCAAUAACAGGUCUGUGAUGCCCUCAGAUGUCCCGGGCUGCACACGUGCUACAAUGAGUGGCGCAAUGUGCUAAUGUUUAAGGGAUAAGAGUGUGGUCAGUAGAACGUCGGGAUUUCCCCUGACGUCUCCCCCGCACGAUUAUCAGCCUUCCCUUAACAGGGCGGGCAACCUUUUCAAAAUACUGGUUUGAUGUUAAAGUAUUGAGUCGUUUUUUUUGGAUGGUGGUUUGUUAACCAAUACCAUCCGGCAACUGCUCGCGAGUUUGUGGUUCUGGCGACUCAUGGUGGGGACCGACGUUUGUAAUUUUUUGUCGCGUGUUAACUAGGAAUGCCUUGUACUGUCGAUUCACUAAGUUACUGGGAAUACGUCCCUGCCCUUUGUACACACCGCCCGUCGCUCUUACC
rnacentral:rRNA from 1 species